rnacentral:rRNA from 1 species
GUAGGGAAUCUUCCACAAUGGGCGAAAGCCUGAUGGAGCAACGCCGCGUGUGUGAUGAAGGGUUUCGGCUCGUAAAACACUGUUGUAAGAGAAGAAUGACAUUGAGAGUAACUGUUCAAUGUGUGACGGUAUCUUGCCAGAAAGGAACGGCUAAAUACGUGCCAG